rnacentral:lncRNA from 1 species
ACUAUCUCUUGUUGUGGGAAAAUUUGAUGAAGUAUUUGAACUGUCACGUAUAUUAAGAAUACUUUGUGAUUUAGACCAAUAUUCUAGAAAUAUCAAAUGUCAGUGUCUUGAAAUCAUCUGCCUCUAACUUUGUGGUAUAAGAAUUAUAUAUGAAUAAGCUAUUAUUUUUAUAAAGGAAAACUUUGCCAUUAUAGUAAAUUACAUUAGUUGAUCUCGAUAAUUUGAGGAUAACAGAUGAUAACUGAAUUUUGAAUUGAUUUAGUAUUUCCUCCUCCUCUUUGGGGGCUGGAUGGGAGGGCUUACAUGCUCUUAGAGUGAGGCACAUCUCACUGUUUUGCAGCUGAAUUUGAAUUGUGCAACUCCUGUGUAAAGUAAGGAUUUCUUUAAAUAGCAUUUUUGCACCACUAAAAAUAGAUAACUUAGAACUCAGUCUUGAUAACUAAAAUGACUUAUUUCGCUUAGAAUACAUUUCUCCCUUCUCUGCCAUCUCCACAAAUGCCAUUGGGAGGUUUUGAAAAACCAGUUAAUUUAAUAGCUCAAAAUUGUCCCUGAUUUUAUUUUCUUUUAGGGAAAAUUGUUUCAUAAAUGUGACACAGAUAAAGCCUUUGUCAGAAAGUAUUCUCAAAAUUAUGAGAUGGAUUAUAAUAAAAUACUUAAAUUUGUGUUAUUUUUUGAACCACAGAUGAGUAAAUCUAAUAAUGAACCAAUUACACUCGUGAGUCUAACUAAACUGUACACUGUAGCAUGGUGUUAUUGACUGGAGUUAAUGUGUAAGUUAUUAACAUUUCUAUGGAAAUGCCCUUUUGGGGCCUCCUGAAUUUUAGAUGUUCCACUGUUUUGAUCAUUUCUAUAAAAGAAAUGGUCAUUUUACUCAGAUGCCAGUCUACUUUAUAAAAACAAAUGGAUUAUAGACUUAAAAAUAGUCAUUUUUCUUAUUCAUAAAUCUGACAGGCAUAAACCCAAAUCAAAGAUAAUUUGGUGCCCAUUAUGAAUUUGAAGUUAAGUGAUAGCUCACUUGUAAAGUGACUACCUUAAUGUGUAUAGAGACCCCAGUCUACUAUGAUUUGGGAAAAUUGUUUAGCUUAUAUGGGAAAAGUAGCUCUUUAAAAAUCAUAUUGCCCAACAGAAACCUUAGGCUGAAUUUACAGGUAUGAUAAUUUUUGUAAUUAAUUUUCUUAGAAUUGUGCAGGUUGGAUGAGAUAAUGACAUACUCUUUUACACUGUAACAGCAGCAUUAUUGCCUAGAACUUUAACCAUUUUAGAGUUAGAUACUAAGGAAACAAACUAAUUGGUCAUCAUCAUUUUCUUUUUUUCUUUUUCUUUUCUUUUUUUUUUUUUUUUUUUGCCCUUAUGUGUCACUAAACAACUAGUUUCUCUCCCUUUUGUCAGUUCCCAUUGUGUAUUUUUUCAAAAGAAGUACUGUAUUCGGAUGCCAGCUAAUAAAUUGUCACACAAUGGAAAAUCAUAUGCCACAACAUUCAUUGUAAGGUUUAAUAAAAUUAAAUUUGCAC